rnacentral:sRNA from 1 species
AUUCUGCCCAAGCGGGGAAGGAUGAGAAGCUUCGACCAAGGUUAGACUUGAGCGCCAGCGAGAGAGCGUUGCCGCAGGCAACGACCCGAAGGGCGAAGCGCGCAGCGCUGAGUAAUCCUUCCCCCACCACCA